rnacentral:rRNA from 1 species
AUUGAACGCUGGCGGCAGGCUUAACACAUGCAAGUCGAACGGGUGGCGGAAGGGUGAGUAAUGAUUGGGAAUGUAGCUUAUGGAGGGGGAUAACUACGGGACACUGUAGCUAAUACCGCCUACCAUAGGAUAGGCCCAAGUGGGAUUAGGGUGUUGUUGAGGUCAAGGCUCACCAAGACGACGAUCUCUAGCUGGUCUGAGAGGAGGACCAGCCACACUGGAACUGAGACACGGUCCAGACUCCGACGGGAUGCAGCAGUGGGGAAUAUUGCGCAAUGGGCGAAACCUGACGCAGCCAUGCCGCGUGAAUGAAGAAGGUCUUCGGGUUGUAAAGCUCUUUCGGUAGGGAGGCGUUACCUACAGAAGAAGCACCGGCUAACUCCGUGCCAGCAGCCGCGGUAAUAC